CAAUACCAGCUUAGGCAUACACACGUACACAAGUGCACUUCCAUCGCCACAACUCUUUUCAAAGGACUACCACCCUUUCACAACCCUCCCCAGCACGAGAAAUGACUGGAGAAAUCAGCGAGAAGGCCUUCCCUCUUUCAACGGAUCGCCUAAGCCAGACCAUCCUCGAUCUUGUGCAGGAAGCAAGCAACGCCAAGAUGGUGAAGAAAGGCGCCAACGAGGCCACCAAGGCCUUGAACCGCGGUAUUGCGGACCUGAUAGUGUUGGCGGGUGAUACGAACCCGAUUGAGAUUCUCCUGCACCUCCCUCUCUUGUGCGAAGACAAGAACGUCCCGUACGUCUUCGUGCCGUCCAAGACGGCGCUUGGGCGCGCGUCGCAGGUGUCUCGCAAUGUCGUGGCGCUAGCCAUCCUUCAGGGCGAGAACAGCCCUGUUGCGGCGAAGGUGCAGGCAGUGAAGCUCGAGAUUGAGCGCUUGCUCUGAGGUGGCUUUCCUUGUUCUCUGGUUUUGCAUGUUCCCUGUGUUUCUGUUCUCUUUGUUGUGGCACUCGAGCUAAGACUGCCGUGCGACAGCGCCUCCUGGUGAACGAGGAUGGCCAACAUGCGGGGCUGCACGGUGUGCAUGUCGUCACUCCUGUGAAAGUGUUGCAGCGGCGGCGGUGGCGGCGGAAGUCCUGUGGUGCAGUUUGAUCGAAGAAGCUCUAUAACGACAUUUUUUGUUUUCGCUUUUUUUCGCUUGUUAAAGUGAGAGAGCGAUGAAGGGACGCUGUCUUCUGGGAUUCUUCGCUAGAGUAGUUAAACGAGAGAGUGGGAGGGACAGCAGUAGCAGCGGCAGCGGCGGCAGAAACAUGCACACCGCUAUGCAGCCACAAAAGCCGAAUCAGAAGAGAGGCCUCCACUCCCUUCGCUUUGGUGACGGCACGCUGUCUCCUAUAUGCCUCACGUUUUCGCUGCUGCUGAUGGCCCGCGUCUACCACUGUGUGUCUGUGUCGGUAAUCGGGACAUUCUGCGUCGCCUGGUGCACUCGAAGCCCCUCCCCCUGUCUCUCUUCCGCCAUUCCUGUGGUCCUGUGAUGAAGAGGACGGAGAUUCCUUGACCGAGAAGCGAAUAGGAAGUCUCGCGUAUGUGUAAGCGCACGGCUCCGCAGUCGUGAAGCGUCUUUAUCUUUUCCUUCUCUGUAAUUCUGAGUGAAGAUUAAUCGGUAUAAG
rnacentral:misc_RNA from 1 species